rnacentral:rRNA from 1 species
UACGGGGGGGGCAAGCGUUGUUCGGAAUUACUGGGCGUAAAGGGCUCGUAGGCGGCCAACUAAGUCAGACGUGAAAAUCCCUAGGCUCAACCUAGGAACUGCGUCUGAUACUGGAUGGCUUGAAUCCGGGAGAGGGAUGCAGAAUUCCAGGUGUAGCGGUGAAAUGCGUAGAUAUCUGGAGGAACACCAAUUGCGAAGGCAGCUCGCUGGGACGUUACGUGACGCUGAGACGCGAAAGCGUGGGGAGCAACAGG